GAAGUGCAUUAACAUAUAGUAACAUUAAUAGCACUAGAUCUGUAUAAACUUAAUUAUAUAUGUUACCACAAGUAAACAACCACAGUAUUUCUUACAUGGUAGAUAUACUCUAGUGCCAAGGAUGGCUACAUUGAGGUGCAGAGCAAUGGCCCAGCUGGUCCAUGCAGUUGGCAGUGAAGAGAAUAAGGAGGAGCUUGAGUUGGGACACAGGUCCUGCCUUCGUCACAGGCAGAACUCAGCCCCUUGCUAUCCCUUUCCCAGGGAUGUGGCAUCAGUCCGGCCCCUGAAGUGUUCUGCUGGCACACAGCAGCCUCCAUCCCAGUUGGAUGCCCUGAUAGUCCUACCAGAGCAGCACACAGCAGUAAGGGCUGUCAGCAGAGAAUUUCAAAGCUCAGAAGACCCCACUGCCUUCUUCUGGGAGUUUAUAAAAUUCAUUCAGGUUCAUACCUGUUGUUGUUUUAAGCUCAUUCCUUUCUGAGGAAUGGCUCAGUGCAAGAAAGAAAAGUAGCUGUUUUACUUUUCUCAUAACUAGGAGAAUUCAAUCAUAUAUAAAGAGUGGGACAUCUGUUACAUCUCUCUGACCUCUGAAGCUGGAAGAAGAAGCCAUUCCCCCAUUUAUGGCAUGUCUCCUAUUUUAUUAGAUUCAUGCACAGGCUGUAUCAGCUGUUCCCUGCUUUUUCCCCCGCUCUAACUCUUGAUGGCUCAGACCGAGACCUUUGCAAUGUUUCAAGCCAGCUGAGCCUGGAAACCUCUGGAUGAUCCAGGCAGCGGUUCCCAAACACUCUGUCCCAUCCACUUCCCAUCUCCCGCUGCAGGGCAGCUCUCUGCAGAGGGUGGCAGUGCCAGGGUGAAGCGAUGUGGAACAGGGCUUUUUGGGGAAGCAAAUGUGAGACCCUGGACAGCUUCUGUCCCACAUCUCAACAUCCACGACCCAACAUCAAACAUGUCACUGCAGCCUGAGCCCCCACGGGCCUGAUGGAGGAGCAAAAAGAGAGGGCUGGAGGCAGCAGAUCCUAAUCUUUAUUAAAUAAGAACAAAGCUUAUGCCGGCUAAUGAGAAAAACAAACCGAUGAAAGAUCCGGCGAGCUCCUCAGAAGGACACAAAGAAAUUCUCUCUGAACAAGAGCAGGCUAAAAAUAUUCCUGAAUAUUUAUUUUGCUGGCAGUGUCUUCACAGGCUCCAGAUUUGAUGCCGCCUCUUUGGGGAUUGGCAUGGCCGUCGCAGCGAUUUCGGAGGAGGGUGCUCCAAACUCUGCAUGACGCCCAGAGUGGCGGCAGAAACAGCCCUGCAGCCAAGACAUGACAGCAUGAACUGCCUCAGCACUGUGAGAUGAUGGCCAGUCCCUGCACACCUCUGUUUCUCUACAGGCAACAGGAUGUUUUACUAUGGGUUUACAUCCCUCACCAUCUUGUUUGGAGUCAGUGUGUAAGAGCCAGAGAUGCUGCAGGCAUUUUUCUCCAGUUUCAUUCCCCUUCUCGACACAGGUCCCUGUGCAUGUGGUGCCAAGGCUGCUGUCACCAAGGCUUGCAUUGAUGCUGAGCAUCCUCGGCAUCACAACUUCAGACACAUCAGGAACAACUGGCAAGAAACUGGAGACACUAGUGAUUUUAUCCAGCUUGAGCCCACAAUGUUCCCCCAAAAGAUCUCCAUCACCUGCUGGGCCUUGCCAGCUUCACAUCUCCUCCCUGCAGCAAGCCACAGCCUAAGCAGCAAUCAUCAGCAAAGAUAUGGGCAUCGUUUGCAAGCAAAUCCCAAACCACAUGAAGCUGCCCAGAUUGCAGCUUCAUUGUAACAUGUAGUGUUACAAACUCCAAAGCCCAGACCACGCCCUGGGAACCACCAGGGCAGGGAGUGUUUCAGGAGGUCGUGAUCAACCCAGCAUGGGCUGUGAACCCCAGAGAGUAAACCUGCACCCACACAGCGGUUUGCAGAAAUUCAGUCAGCCUGACUGUUUCGCAUCUCCUGCCCUUCCCACUGGCCCCUAAAACCCCUGUCCAGCCUGUUGUUUCCAGAGAUGUUUAGCAGGAGGUGAUGCCAUCACAGCACUGGGUCAGACCACCCAGCUGGGACAGGCAGCUGUGGGGGCUGCUCUGAAAUCAACUCCCAGCUUCACAGCUGCCCCCACUCUCCCAUACAGGCUGAGCCCCAAACCUUAGCAUUGAGUACCACUGACCUUGGCUGAAAACAUUGCUUCUAAAGGCAAAAGCAAUGCAGUGACAAGGCCUGCAGUUCCUCCUCCGCUUCUGCUGUCGCUGACCAUGAAACUUCAGCCUCUGCUCUGUUAAUGUACUGUGGCUGAACUUGCUGCCAGCGGGUCAAAGGGAACAUAAUUUACUCGGGCUUUGAUGCAUUUGAUACAGUUUGGGGUGAAAAGGGAGAGGGGGAGGACAGGAGACGAAGGGGAUAAGCAGUGGCAGGGAAGGAAAGAGGUUGCCUGUUUGCAUGGGAACUGGAUUAGUAUGAAGAUGACAGAGCCAUUUUCUAGCCAAGAGGGAUUUAGUGAUAACCAAGAGGGUUUUGACUGGAGUGGGGGCUCCCUGUGCUCAGAUCAGUGUGGUGGGUAGGAGGCAGCCUAAGUGUUUGUCUGCAAGGCACUUUUUAUCUCUUUCCCUGAUUAUGAGAUUGGCAAGGGGAGGGAGGUGUUUGUAUUCUGUAUUGCCUGAAGAGUCCUUAUACUGCUCAGGCAGGACCAUGGCAUGGUCACAGUUCCCUUCCUGGCAGCUAGCUCUCAUCGUGUUUGCAUCUCCUUAACCCUCUCCUCAUCUUAGACCCUUUACCAGCUGCAUCAUGAAGCCUCUCUCCCUAUUUUCCUGCUGGAAGGAAGCUAUAAGGCAUGGAACAGGAGCGAAGAGGCCGGGAGGAAGCGAAGCGAUGUGGCUGCUGUGGUUUCAGUUCUCACUCCACCUCGCUACUGAGAAACUGGACCUGUGGUUUGGUUUGUGGCUGGGGGGAAAGAGGAAUGGUCCUUGGAUCUGAUCCCCACUGGGAAGGCUCUCUCAGUCCCACAGACACACCAGCAACACCGAUGGGGACUGGAGGAAGAGGAGAGAAAACCAGCCCCUGAUAAACCCCACUCCAGCAGCUCCUGGUGCAUUAAUAUUCACCACAGAGCGAGGGGUGUAAAUUCACUGCUAUCUCCUCA